CCUACGGGAGGCAGCAGUGGGGAAUAUUGCACAAUGGGGGAAACCCUGAUGCAGCGACGCCGCGUGAGUGAAGAAGUAAUUCGUUACGUAAAGCUCUAUCAGCAGGGAAGAAAAUGACGGUACCUGAGUAAGCAGCCCCGGCUAACUACGUGCCAGCAGCCGCGGUAAUACGUAGGGGGCAAGCGUUAUCCGGAUUUACUGGGUGUAACGGGAGCGUAGACGGUGCGCCAAGUCUGGAGUGAAAGGCGGGGGCUCAACCCCCGGACUGCUCUGGAAACUGUACGGCUGGAGUGCAGGAGAGGUAAGUGGAAUUCCUAGUGUAGCGGUGAAAUGCGUAGAUAUUAGGAGGAACACCAGUGGCGAAGGCGGCUUACUGGACUGUAACUGACGUUGAGGCUCGAAAGCGUGGGGAGCAAACAGGAUUAGAUACCCUGGUAGUC
rnacentral:rRNA from 1 species